CUAGCUCGCAUCGUUCGUACUUGCCUCGCCCUCGCGUCUCUGAGUCCCGAGGCAAGUCUCCUCGAUUCGCUUUCUUCCUCGUAGAAGCAGCCUAGGGUUUCGGCGCCACCACGGCCGACAUGGUGUCCUCGGGGUCCCGGUACCCCUGCAUCGUCUGAUGUCCUAACGCGUCAAAGAAGAGGCGAAGGAGCCCGGGGCAAAUCUUGAAAGACCUGCCUCGCGUCAAUGGCGGGAUCGUGUUCAGGUUGGUCGCGAAGUAGAGGGGAAGAAGAGCCGUCGCUGUUGGAGGUGGGAGGAUGGGGUGGUGCCGCUGGGGAGAGGACCCAGAUGGGGUGCCGCCGGCUUGUUGUUCUUAGCCCCCCGUCCAGCAGAUCUCCACCCGCGCUCGUGCUGGGGAGAGAGAGGGGCGGACAGAUGGAAGGUGAUGAAGGCUCUCUGGGCCAAGGGAGAGCCGGUGCCUAGAUGAGCACGAGCACUUCCUCGACACCCUCAUCAGGUUCGGCCGUGCCUGAAAGAUGAUCGAGGAGCACGUCAGAUCUGGAUUUCAUCAUAUUUUGGUCCUCCUAAUUAUUGUCUUUUUGUUUGGGAUGAACGAAGGUGAAAAUAAAUUCAGACUUCUGAACAAGCAAUUCGUUAUGCAAGGAAUCCUAGGAGCCAGGAUAUAUAUUGGGCAUCUUCAGUAGUUAAACACCUGGUACAUAUGCGUUGUGGAAGACAGAUGGUGCAUCUGGUAGCAAGCCUCAUGCCACUAAUUUGAGUCAGAGCUUUGGGAUUUUCAAUUCUCAUGAACGGGUAUCUGGCGAUUAAAACUCAUGAAAGAGAAGUUAUAUGGUGAAUUUUGUGAUGUAUUUGGUAGAGUCAAUAUUUUAUUAGCUUGCAGGGAUGGAAGUUUGGCGGAAUCUGUUGAGAAUGGAUAGUUGUAUUUGACCUAAACUCUUGAGUUCAACUGGAAGUGAUGGAACUUGGCAUUGAUCAGUCACAGUCCAGAAGUAGUACAUGUGGUUGGUUCACAAACUUCCGGCGGUAACGUGAAUCGUUUCUUCACUCACCUAUUUUCAUUAAUCUGGUGACUUCCAUCCUUCUUCGCUGCUUGGGAGAAAGACAAAUACCAACAGAGGAACCGUUGUUCUAGACCCUGACUAUCGAUUAUGAUUGGUCUCUUGACAUGGACUUCAACAUCAACUAAAGAAGAUAUGAUAUCUGUUAGCAGAGUAGUAUCUCUAUCCGGUUCAUUAUUGUCAAAAUGCAGGGAUAGCUGGUGCAAUCUUUUUGCCGCUGCACCUUUAGGCCUAUGGGGAGCUGCUUCUUUUGUUUCAGGACAGAAAUUUUGCCAGCCCAUCAAGAUUUAGACUAGAUUAUGUGGUGUGCUGCUUCUUGCAUUCUACUAGAUCACGAUUUCUUUCUCUAUUUUUGCGGGGGGGAAAGAAAGAAAGAAAUCGUGAUGUAGAUCACGAUUUCUUUCAAAGGAAGAUAUUUUGGUUCAAGACAGAGGACUUCCAAGACACGAUUUUGGUUUCAACUGAUGCAGCGGUUUGCACUGAUUUUGGUUAGCCAUGUAUAUAAAUGGAAGGAUUUCUUCAUUAGAGUAUUCUAUUUUUGUUCAUUGUGUGCAAAAAUAUGAAGAUGUAUCUAUGCCAGAACUUUUGCUCAACUAUUUAUUUAGUUAUUUAUUUCCAGGGUGCAGUACUUAAGCACUUUUGCACGAUUUCCAAUUGAUGGUGCACUGUACUCUUCAGUUAUUUUGUUCCACAGCAGUGGAGUUAGAUUAUGUGAUGAAUGAAAAUGCAAGGCAAUACUUCUUUUUUGAGGAUUAAGAAGACAACGAUCAAUACCUACUUCAGUCUGGAUCAUGAACAUGAUGAAUGUGGGUGAUCUCUGAGCUUGGUUCCAUUUUCAUGUGAUAUUCAAGGAUGCAGAUUUGUAGAGGACGUAUUAAAUUCAAGAUCUUUUGCUUAUUGUGAUAUUCAAGAAUAGAAGGAGUGAGCUUGAUUUAUUGGAUUGGUUGAGAGCUGGGUUUGGCUUUCAGGUCUGCUAGAGAUGGCACACCACAUGCAUCUCCACUUAAGACCUCCCCAACGCCCAAGGUAGUUGGCCUUUACAAAUAUUUUGUUGCUCAUUCUCUAUCAUAUGCUGAAAUUAAUCUUGCUCAUGGCAGCUCACAUGCAUUUCUGCUAAAAUCAUUACAUCUUGUGCUAGAGCAGUAGUAACUGCCGAUUCUUGUGCUGGUUCUCAUUAUGAAAGUUGUACCUAUUAUCCUAUCCAGAGACAUUACUUGGAUCAUAGAUUAAAUCUCAUCGGUUCAUUUUUCCAUUUUGCUCUACAGUUUGUUCACACAUACACUACAGUCUUGUGUUAUUCAGUAUGCACCACUGCAUUUUCUUCUGUGGAGUCAAGUGAUAUUGUUAAGGAGUAUUAGUAUUGGGAAAAUCUUGAGCAAUUUCGAGUUGGUUUCACAUAUUUUGAUUAUCUUUAUGGGACUAGCAUAAGUAAGUUCCCCCCUUCCAGUACAGAAUACUGAAUUUUACAUGAUGUGUUUAUUACUUAGCAUUUUGGCAAACAGGUUAAUAUUGUAAAGAAAAUCUCAAGUUUUAGAAAUAUGCACGGAACAGAUGGAAGUUCAUAGGUGAUCAUGUAUUUUUCAUUUUGUUUAAUAGACUACUGAAUACAUGACUAAAGGUUAGAUCUAGGAAAGCUCCUACUUCCUAAGUAAAAUCUUUGGAUGUUUUAGGAAAGACAAAAUAUGUGGUGUUUACAGAAUGUAGAGAAUAGAUAAUCCACAAUCAUAGCAAGAACGAUCAUGAAUACCUAUAUUUAGAUGCAAUUGAACCGGCGUGUGUAUUUUUCU